rnacentral:rRNA from 1 species
UACGUAGGGUGCAAGCGUUGGCCGGAAUUAUUGGGCGUAAAGAGCUCGUAGGCGGUUCGUCGCGUCGGCUGUGAAAACCCGGAGCUCAACUCCGGGCCUGCAGUCGAUACGGGCGGACUUGAGUGUUGCAGGGGAGACUGGAAUUCCUGGUGUAGCGGUGAAAUGCGCAGAUAUCAGGAGGAACACCGGUGGCGAAGGCGGGUCUCUGGGCAACUACUGACGCUGAGGAGCGAAAGCGUGGGGAGCGAACAGG